AUUGAAAUAUUUGAAGUCAAAAAUCAUGUCCUAAUCACAUUUCUUCUUCACAGGAUAUAAGGCAGCCUAUGAUGUUGUUCAGACCUGUCCAAUUCUUCAGGAUCCUAUUUUAGGGUUUUCUUGACAAAGAUAUUAGUCAUUUCCCAUUUCCUUAUCGAGAUCAAUCUAUAAAUGAAGAAACUGAGGCAAAUAGAGUCAAAUCGCUUGCCCAGAGUUCCACAGCUAUCUCAGGCCCUCAAUCCCAGGACAAUGUCUCCACCACUAGAAGAAUGACCUAUGAUGCAGAAGGAGUCAAAAUGAGGAGAGAUGGAGAAUGGAAUCAGAGAAUCUUCAAGUUACAAAUAAGGAAAUUGGAUGGAUGGAUCACAGAUCUAAAGUUGUCAGGCAUCAUGGGUAGGACAAGCUAACAUAAUAAAAAUGACAAUCCUAUCCA
rnacentral:lncRNA from 1 species